CCUGGUUGAUUCUGCCAGUCUUCAUAUGUUAGUCUCCUAGAUUAAGCCCUACAUGUGCAAGUAUGAACAAAUUCAGACUGUGAAACUAUGAAUGGCUCAUUAAAUCAGAUAUAGUUUGUUUGAUGGUGUCUACUACUCGGAUAACCUUAGUAAUUCUAGAUCUAAUAUAUUCAAUAAACUCCAACUUCUAUAAAGGAUGUUAUAUUAGAUGAAAGGUUGAUGUGGGAUUUUCUCAUUCCUACGAUGAUUCAGAAUAACUCGACGGAUUGCACGACCAUCGUACCUAUGAUGCAUUAUUCAAAUUUCUUCGUUAUCAGUAUUUGAUGGUAGAAUAGUAGCCUACCAUGGUGGUUAUAGGUGAUGGAGAAUUAGGGUUAGAUUCUGGAGAGUAAGUAUGAGAAAUGGCUACCACAUCUAAGGAAGGAAACAAGCGCACAAAUUACCUAAUCCUUACAAGGGGAGGGAGUGACUAUAAAUAUCAAUACCGGGUUCAAAUAUCAAUUAAUCUAGUAAUUGGAAUGAGUACAAUCUACAUCCUUUAAUGAGGAUCUAAUGGAGGGCAAGUUUGGUGUCAGCAGCCCAAGUAAUUCUAGUUAAAAAGCUUGUAGUUUUACUUUGGGAUGGGCCGACCGGUCAGACUAUGGUGUGCACCAAUUGUCUAGUCCCUUCUGUCGGCAAUGUGCUCCUAGCCUUAACUAGCUGGGUCAUGCCUCCGACACUGAUACUUUGAAGAAAUUAGAGUGUUCAAAGCAAGCCUACAUUUUAUAUACAUUAUCAUGGAAUAACAUUAGAGGAUUUCGGUCCUAUUAUGUUGGCCUUCGGGAUCAGAGUAAUGAUUAACAGGGACAGUCGGGGGAAUUCCUAUUUCAGAGUUAGAGGUAAAAUUCUUGGAUUUAUGAAAGACGAACAACAUAGAAAGCAUUUGCCAAGAGUGUUUUCAUUAAUCAAGAAUGAAAGUUGGGGGCUCGAACAUGAUCAGAUAUUGUCAUAGUCUCAACUAUAAGUAAUGUCGAACAGGGAUCGGAGGAUGUUGCUUUUAGCACUCAGCCAACACCUUAUGAGAAAUCAAAGUUUUUGGGUUCUAGGGGGAGUAUGGUUGCAAGGUUGAAACUUAAAGGAAUUGACAGAAGGGCUCCACCAGGAGUGAAGCCUGCUUCUUAAUUUGACUCAACACGAGGAAAAAUACAAGGUCCAAACAUAGUAAGGAUUGGCAGACUGAGAGCUCUUUUUUUAUUCUAUGGCUGGGGGAGCAUGGCCAUUCUUAAUUAGUAGAGCGAUUUUUCUAGUUAAUUCUGUUAACGUACAAGACCUCAGCCUGUUAACUAGCUAUGCAUAGGUAUCCCUUUGCGACCCACUUCUUAAAUGGACUACGACCUUUUAGUCCGCAGAGGUUCGACGCAAUAAAUGGUCUUUGAUGCCCUUAGAUGCUCUGGGCCGCACGCGCGCUACAUUGAUGUAUUCAAUGAGUUUAUAGCCUUGGCCGAUAGGCCUACGUAAUCUUUUAAAUUUUAUCGUAAUGGGUAUAGAUCAUUACAAUUGUUGGUCCUCAAUGAGGAAUUCCUAGUUAACUCGAGUCAUAAGUUCACGUUAACUACAUCACUCCUCUUUGUACCCACUGCCCAUUGCACCUACCGAUUGAAUGAUCCACUGAAAUAUUUGGAUCGCAAUGAUAUAGGAGGUUUGCUGCCCAUAAAGUUGGGUGAAGUCUAUUGAGUCUUAUUAUUUAGCAGAAGGAGAAUCCAUAACAAGGUUUUCGUAAGGGAACUUGCAGAAG
rnacentral:rRNA from 1 species